AGCGAACGCUGGCGGCAGGCUUAACACAUGCAAGUCGAACGCAUCCUUCGGGAUGAGUGGCAGACGGGUGAGUAACGCGUGGGAACGUGCCCUCCGGUUCGGGAUAACCCAGGGAAACUUGGGCUAAUACCGGAUACGUGCUUAUGGCAGAAAGGUUUACUGCCGGAGGAUCGGCCCGCGUCUGAUUAGAUAGUUGGUGGGGUAACGGCCUACCGAGGCUGCGAUCAGUAGCUGGUCUGAGAGGAUGAUCAGCCACACUGGGACUGAGACACGGCCCAGACUCCUACGGGAGGCAGCAGUGGGGAAUAUUGGACAAUGGGCGCAAGCCUGAUCCAGCCAUGCCGCGUGAGUGAUGAAGGCCUUAGGGUUGUAAAGCUCUUUUACCCGGGACGAUAAUGACGGUACCGGGAGAAUAAGCCCCGGCUAACUUCGUGCCAGCCGCCGCGGUAA
rnacentral:rRNA from 1 species